GGACUACCCGGGUUUCUAAUCCUGUUUGAUCCCCACACUUUCGUAUCUCAGCGUCAAUAUUCGGCCAGAUGGCCGCCUUCGCCACCGGUAUUCCUCCUGAUAUCUACGUAUUUCACCACUACACCAGGAAUUCUACCAUCCUCUCCGAUAUUCAAGCUUUACAGUUUCGAAUGCAGUUCCAUGGUUAAGCCAUGGGAUUUCACACCCGACUUGAAAAGCCGCCUACAUACGCUUUACGCCCAGUGAUUCCGAACAACGCUAGGACCCCUCGUCUUACCGCGGCGGCUGGCAC
rnacentral:rRNA from 1 species